UACGUAGGGGCCAAGCGUUGUCCGGAUUUAUUGGGCGUAAAGAGCUCGUAGGCGGUUGGGUAAGUCGGGUGUGAAAACUCCAGGCUCAACUUGGAGAUGCCACCCGAUACUGCUCUGACUUGAGUUCGGUGAGGGGAGUGGGGAAGUUCCUGGGAUGUAGCGGUGAAAUGACGCAGAUAUCAGGAGGAACACCGGUGGCGAAGGCGCCACUCUGGGCCGAAACUGACGCUGAGGAGCGAAAGCGUGGGUAGCAAACAGG
rnacentral:rRNA from 1 species